AACCCACUGAGCCACCCAGGCGCCCCUAUAGGUAACGUUCUUAACCAUUAGCCCCCCCCAAAAAAAAAACAGGAAAAUCAAACUGUAUUGUCUUUACCACUACCACGCACAAUUUUAGUUCCCGAAUCUUGCCUAAAGAAGGUAUAGAAAAAGACAAACAGUAACUUGAGGUAUAGAAAGAUGUGAAAUGUUUAAGAAGCUACAUUUAUGAGGCAACAGAACACAUCUCAUCCACUGAUUUUAUUUUACUUUUUAAGUAGUCUCCACACCCAGCAUGGGGUCUAAACUCAGGACCCUGAGAUCAAGACCUGAGCUGAGAUCAAGGACCAGAUGCUUAAUCAACUGAACCACCCAGCGCCCCUCAUCCACUGAUUUUAGAGUAGAUCAGCACUAGCAGGAACUCCUUCUCACUCACUAUAAAAGGUACUUUAGAUGCCCUAGGUUUUAAAAAACGACUUGGUCAAAAGUUCAUACAUUCCAUUGUCAGUAAAAGGGCAGUUUUAAAAGCUACUUGGUGUUGUUUGGUUAAGGAUGCAUUCAUCAAAUAUUAUUAGGUAAGUAUGAAGCUAGUGGUCAAUAAAAACACUAAAUUAAAGAAACUGACACUUAGCAUCAUAAG